rnacentral:rRNA from 1 species
AUACGGAGGGUGCGAGCGUUAAUCGGAAUUACUGGGCGUAAAGCGCACGCAGGCGGUCUGUUAAGCUAGAUGUGAAAGCCCCGCGCUCAACGUGGGAGGGUCAUUUAGAACUGGCAGACUAGAGUCUUGGAGAGGAAAGCAGAAUUUCUAGUGUAGAGGUGAAAUUCGUAGAUAUUAGAAAGAAUACCAAUUGCGAAGGCAGCUUUCUGGAUCAUUACUGACACUGAGGAACGAAAGCAUGGGUAGCGAAGAGGAUUAGAUACCCUCGUAGUCCAUGCCGUAAACGAUGUGUGUUAGACGUCGGAAAUUUAUUUUCAGUGUCGCAGCGAAAGCGAUAAACACACCGCCUGGGGAGUACGACCGCAAGGUUAAAACUCAAAUGAAUUGACGGGGACCCGCACAAGUAGUGGAGCAUGUGGUUUAAUUCGAAGAUACGCGCAGAACCUUACAACACUUGACAUGUUCGUCGCGAC